UUUUGAAAAAUAAAAAAAUUUAAAUUUUUUAAAAGAUAAAAUGCUAUUUUGGUCAUUUUAGUUUUUGAGUGCUAUUUUUGUGAUAUAAACUUAGAAAAGUGUUAUUUUGGAGAUUUGCCCUAUAAAAAUAUCGUUUGUUGAUCCAAAUAGAAUAUCCAAAAACAGUUUAUUAUUGGCCCCAAAGUGGGAUCCGAUUACAUAUUAGCCGAUAAGAGGAACCAUUUUGAAAGUACAUUUUGAAAUCCCAUAUCAAAAAUUUAAAUAAGACCAAAUUGGCAUAUAAAACAUUUGGGUUUGUCCAUUUACUAUUAGUUGCAAGUUGUAAACUCAUGAUAGUCCCGAAUGUAACAUGAGAUUAGAGUAAAAUGAUGUUGGACUACUAUGUGGUUUGUUGUUCCCACGAUUGCCCACACUUUAAACUCUGGAAUGUAGCAUUAUGACGUUUGGCUCUAUUGGAUGAUCGUAGCUGUUAGUCGUAAGUGAGCAGAAGCCACGAUUAGUAUAAUUCCAUCUCAGGUCUUCUUCUAAAUUGUCUAAAAUUAAGAUGCCAGAAAUAAAUAUUGGACUUAAAAUUGUAGGGCUUUAACCCAAAGGGAGCCCUUCCAGAAAUUCUCGAGAGCCCAAGACAAGCUUAGGCCCAGGAGGGGGUUUGGAAAUAGUUUUCAACCAGCAAUAGACGCGCCUCGGUUAGUACCUCAUUAGCUGCGUCAUUGCCCCAAGCGCAAAGAUGAGUUUUAACAAGAGCAAGCCUCUCGUAUUUAUAGUCAUACAGAACCUAUCACCUUGCAUGCUGCUUCCGAUGUGGGAGGUACUAACUUAAUUGAUUUAACCAUAACUAGGCCUGAUUGUUAAAAGGCCAAUAUGCCUGAUAAGCCCAACUAAUAGAUAAGUUAGGUAAAUGAGUUGCCACGCUGGAGAAGAAUCCAUCCAUGGAAAAGGAGUUUGAAAACCAGACGUCGUCUCUUUCCUCUUCGAUCCAAACGCCACGUCAGCAACACACUCUCUCUUCCCCACGGCUAUAGCUAAUAAGCAUAUGGAGGCCUGAGGAAUGAAAGACUCUGCCUUGACUUCUUGUUUGUUCCUCAGGCUGGAAGUAAGUAGAGUCUCCAUGCCUUAGGGAGGGAGGGAGGCUUUUGGUAUCUCCUGGUGAAAUUGUUGUUAUACCACAAGGUUUGGUUUCAGAUUCUCCACUGAUCUACCUGACGGGUUAUGUUUCUGAAAUCUAUGGUGCUCAUUUUCAGCUUCCUGAUCUUGGACCUAUAGGUAGCUUAGCUACUCGAGUCUCGAGUCCUUUGGGAUUCAUUCAACCUUGGUAAACAAGUGAGACAAUAUUUAUGUUUGGAUGUGUGAAGGUGCUGCUAAUGGUCUUUCUUGCUGCACCAAGAGAUUUUCUUGCACCAACGGCAUGGUUUGAGGAAAGACUACGGCCUGACUUCACAAUUGUUCAGCACAAGUUUGGCGGCGAACUCUUUUACUGCUAAACAAGAGUUCUCUCCCUUCAAUGUGGUCGCCUGGCACGGCAAUUACGUGCCUUAUAAGGUGAAUACAGUGUCUUGGAAAAUUAAUGCACGAUAAUCAUUUUCCACCUGCAGAAGUUCUGCCCAUACAACACUGUCCUUGUAGACCAUGGGGAUCCAUCAAUAAAUACAGGUCAGAGCACCAAAUCUAUUGCAUAGCUGUUGAUCCUCUUUGAGGGUUGUACUCUCAGUUCUUACAGCACCAACGGAUAAACCCGGUGUGGCUUUACUUGAUUUUUGUCAUAUUCCUUCCUCGAUGGUUGGUUGCUGAGCACACUUUCCGACCUCCUUAUUAUCUGCAUGAGUGAAUUUAUGGGCUUAAUCUAUGGUGGGUGCAUACGAGGUACAAUGCUUUUGGAGAUCAUUUGUUGCCUUCUCUUCUUACUCUUCCAAUCUUUCACACGCUAAAGCUGAUGGAUUUCUCCCUGGUGGCGCAAGUCUUCACAGCUGUAUGACACCUCAUGGUCCAGAUACAACCACAUACGAGGUGACGAUUGAUUGCUCAUGUAAAUGCAAUGGCUCCUACUAAACUCACAGGUACAAUGGAUUUCAUGUUAUUGAUCCCCAGAGUCUGCCAUUGGGCUCUGGAGACUCCUUUCCUUGAACGAGACUAAUGUUGAACAAACAGAGAAAAGGAGAGGAGCGUCAGAGUAAAUAAAAACAUAAACUCACGUGUAUUGCCAAUACCCACUCUGUACAGACCGCUACUAUAUGUUAAGCAUACAACAAGUAUGUAUAUAUGCAAUAAGUAGGUGAUGUUUCAUAUCACAUCUGUUACAUCCUUUGUACUUUUGAAAUCACUGAUGAUUGACCUUGCCAUUUAGAGA